CGCCUGGUAUCUUGAAACCUCUUUGCUUGCGGGGGCAGGAGUGGAAACGUCUGAGAGAGCGCUUCGCGAAAGAAUCGUGUGGCGUGGUGAAAGGUUUCCCGUUGGGGUUUCCGGCCCCCUUGGUCUUCACCUAAUUUUUGAAGAGGGGAGGUGAGUUGAUACUCAACUCUCUCUCUCGCGCCUUUAUUCAGCUUGUUCCUGUUCGUCUAUUCGGGACGGGGCAGGCAGCCCACAUACAUGAAGAGAAGAAGAGAGGGGGGGGGUCCUAAGGUGUCAAGGCGGUCGAAGAAGGCCACAAGUGGAAGCAACCGAUGCUUUGGUCAUUCUCUUACAGAGCCUUGCUGCUAGUCCGUGCUUGCUGUCAUGCUGGCAAAAGCAGGUG
rnacentral:misc_RNA from 1 species